CGUUUUCCAAGGACCACGCAUGCGCGAUGCGCGAUGCGUGAUGCGUCACUGCGUGACCACGCAGCACUUGAACCUGUGUGUUGAAACGGGGAUGAUUUCCAAGGCCGCGCAAGCGGGGGUUUCCCGCUCGCCGCGGCUGCGUGUCGCGGAUGGGCAUCGCGCAGCAGUUGCCUGGCCCCCGACUUCAGCGUGAUCACGCAUGCGAUUUAUCUGGAGUCAAAGAGUUUUACUGCAGAACAGGACGAGAAAUUGAUUGAUUUAGUAAGGGAGCAUCGUGUGUUAUAUGAUUUGCAUCACUGCAAGUACAAAGACAGUAUUGUUCGAGAAAAUGUGUGGAAGGAAAUUGCAGCUUCUUUAAACAAAGGUGCAGAAGACUGCAAAACGAGAUGGAGAACCAUUCGCGACUCCUACAGAAAAAGCAACAAGAAACUGAAAACUGGGUCGAAGACAGGUUCACCGGCAUUUUCAAAAUCGAAAUACAACACAGAAAGCCUGAAAUUCCUUGAUGAAACCUACAAAGAAAGAGCAUCAAAAUCAAGCAUCAACAUAAAUGAAAUAAUUGAAAAUAAUCAAGAAACACAAGAAAUGGUGGAUGACUGUCCCUCUGAAGAGUGCAACCAAUUUCAAGAAGAAGAAAGCGCUCAAGAAUCUACAAAUUGGCCUAGCGAGCAAACAAGUUCUUCAGAAUUGUUAAACAGCUCCAUUAAAAAAAGAAAAAUUACAGUAAAAGAAAAAAUGUUAGAUGAAAUAAGAAAAGGUCGUGAAGAAAGAGGGAAAAUAUUAAAAGAUCUACUUGAAAACCGCGGCCAAGAUCGUUCGCAACAUCCGAUGGACAUAUUCUUCCAGAGCAUGUCUGAAACUGUUAAGCAAUUCCCCCCACACCUCAUUGCGGAAACUAGAUUAAAAGUGUGCCAAGUUGUGUCUCAGAUGGAACUGAGAUCGUUGAUGGAGCAUCAGAACCAGACUAAUCCUAAUCACCAACAAUGUUAUCAACAUGUGGAUAUUGGCAGCGGUUUUCCUGUCUCUGUCAUAGAUCCCACCCAAAUUUGUGAAUCUACUGGCAGUAAUAGCUUGAUUCAUUCAACAGAUAGCUGUAAUUCUAGUGGUAACGAUGCUAAUGUGGAAGAAAGUGACUUCGUGAGACUAAUUUAGAAAAUAACCAGUAUUAGUUCUGUGAGUAGAUGAAUGCAUAGUCAGAGACAUUUUAGGAAAUUCAUCAGUACAUGGACAUUUAAAUUUUUAUUAAACCUAUAAUUUCAAUAUAAUUAAGUAAAUAUUUUUAUAUUUUGUUUUCGUUUAAGUACUUUGUGUAUAUAAAUAUGAAACAUUAAAAAGAAAAACAUUACAUUAAAGAGGCUUAGUUAAAUUUGUUUACCUGAGAGUAAGACAUAACUUCUGUUCAGCAGAUAUUGGCCUUUUGACUCUGUUGCACUGCGAUCUCGUGAUGUCUUCUUUAACAAAGCCUAAUAUUGUAUCAAAUAUCUCAGUCGACACUCUGAAAUAUUCUCUAAAUUUAGUUUCGUUAUCAAUUAAGUGACGUAAUAUCAACACACUAUAACAUCCCUCGUCUUCUCUCCUUCUAAAUAUAUCGCUGUCAUCUUCUAGGAAGCAUGAGAGCAAUAAAUCAUCAUCAGCAUCUUCCUCCAACAAGACGGCAGAGAUCGCUGCUUCCAUCGCGCAGACUUGUUUCCCGCGUUCUAACAAAACAGACCCAGGUCAGUGAUCACGCAUGCGGCGAUCACGCAUCACGCAUGACGCAUCGCGCAUCGCGCAUGCGUGGUCCUUGGAAAAC